rnacentral:lncRNA from 1 species
CGGGAUUCCUGGCUCUUGGUGCCCAUCCACCCCUCCUCCCCAGCAAGCCAGGCUGCAGGCCCCACCUUCUCCCCAGCUCCUUCCUUCCUCCUGUGGCCCAUGCUAUCUCUAGGAGAGCAAGGGGUUCAGGAAGGGAUUCUGCCUGUGGGCACUGCUGACAUGGGCAGGCAGGGGCAGGGUGGGCUGCACUUCCUCCCAUCUCAGGACCCGGCAGGGGUGGCACAGCCAAGUUGCAGGGAGUCUGGUGGGAUUGAGCCGCCCUGCCCCCAUCGUGCCUCUCAGGGCCUGUCCCCCGCCCACCCGAGCCCUCCACUGGGCGUCUCUUCCGAAUCCAGUCCAUGCCCACUGGCUGCCCGUGCCCCAGGGUGGGCUUUGCACUGGAGCUGCACCCAGGCUCUGCAAAGCCACCAUGGUGACAGCGUUUCCAGGGAAACCACAGCAGGCUGCCAGGCAAGUGCAGGCGGGGGACACCCAGGUGGGAGGUGCCCACCAGCUCCUCCUUUCAAGCCUCACGGAAUUGAAACAAGCUGCGGGAAUCGAUUCUCCGGCCGAAAGUCUUCUCCAGUAAAGGAGCUUCCCAGGCUCCAUUUCACAGGAGCACCGGCUGGGGGAAGACAGGGAGGAGGGCCUUCAUUAUGCAGUCGUUGUGGAGUCUUGUUAAGCACUGAUUCCACCUGCUUGAGAAGCCGACUUUUUUUUUUUUUUUUUUGAAACAGAGUCUUGCUCUGUUGCCCAGGCUGGAGUGUAGUGGUGCAAUCUUGGCUCACUGCAACCUCUGCCUCUGAGGUUCAAGCAAUUCUCCUGCCUCAGCCUCUGGAGUUGCUGAGAUUACAGGAAUGUGCCACCAUGCUCAGCUAAAUUUUUUUGUACUUUUAGUAGAGAUAGGGUUUCACCACGUUAGCCAGGAUGGUCUCGAUCUCCUGACCUCGUGAUCUGCCCGUCUUGGCCUCCCAAAGUGCUGGGAUUACAGGCGUGAACCACUGCGCCCGGCCCAGAAGUCAACCUUUCUUUGGUUCUGGAAGCAACAGCAGAGCGAUGACUUUGGUGGUGGAGACUGGUCUUUGUUCAAAUAAAAAUCACCACCCUGGACACUAGGCCAGGCAUAACAGCCCACAAAGCCAGGUGGUGGCCGACCUGCAAGGCUGUGGCCCUGGAGCCGCAGCUUCUCCCAGGGAGGGCGCCUGGCAGCGCCUGCAAGGAUGGAGACCCCGGCAGUGCCGUGUCUAGGUCCGUGUCCCGUGCUGAGGGUGCACUGGGUGAAGUGGGAGGCGGGCCCUGGUCUGCGCUGCCCACAGGUAUGGUCUCUUGACCACAUGAAGCUCUGUUGGCCCCAGCUGACUGUUCCCAUCCUCGAGACCUGCGGCAGCCUGAGAAGGGCCUCGGUGGUCACCCUUGUCUGUUCCUCCUGCUAAAAUGAAAUACCUCAGAGGGGGCAAUUUGUAACCGGAAUUUCAUUGCUAGGUUCUGGAGGCUGGGACACCCAGGACCAAUGCCCCACCAGAUUCAGUGUCUGGUGAGGGUGGCUGUCUGCUCUCUGCUCCCAGGACAGUGACUUCUUGCUGCAUCCUCACCCAGUGGCAGGGACGGGAGGGUGGGGAAAGGCAACCAGGACCCCCAAACCUCUUAUGAGGCUACUGGUCCCAUUCACAUCCUCCUCAUCUCCCAAAGCCCUCCAGUGAUGCCAUCGCCUUAGGGCUUAAGUUCUAACAAAUGAAUCUGGGGGUGACACCAACAUUCAGACCAUAGCAGCAGCUGUGAUGGCUACUUUUGUGUCAGCUCGACCAGGCCACAGUCCUCAGCUAUUUGGUCAAACACCAGUGUAGACGUUGCUGUGAGCGUGUUUCUUGGAUGAGAUUAAUAUUUCAAUCAGGAGACACUGGGUAGAGCAGAGUACUGACCAUAUUAUAGCCUCAUCCAGGCAGUCCAAGGCCUUAAGAGAAAAAGACAGUGGUCCCCGAGGAAGAGGAAGUCCCGCCUCUGGGCAGCAGCCCCUGGAGGAAGAGGAAGUCUCGCCUCCGGGCGGCCUUCAAACAUGAGCAGCAACAGCCAGUGUCCCUGGGUCUCCAGCGGUCUGCAGGUGUCAGACGAGCAGCUGCCACAACC